rnacentral:rRNA from 1 species
AGAGUUUGAUCAUGGCUCAGAACGAACGCUGGCGGCAUGCCUAACACAUGCAAGUCGAACGGGAUCCUAGCUUGCUAGGUGAGAGUGGCGGACGGGUGAGUAACACGUGGGAAUCUGCCUUUUGGUUCGGGAUAACCGCGGGAAACUGCGGCUAAUACCGAAUGCCCUCGUGAGAGGAAAGAUUUAUCGCCAGAAGAGGAGCCCGCGUCCGAUUAGGUAGUUGGUGGAGUAAAGGCCUACCAAGCCGACGAUCGGUAGCUGGUCUGAGAGGAUGAUCAGCCACACUGGGACUGAGAUACGGCCCAGACUCCUACGGGAGGCAGCAGGUGGGGAAUAUUGGACAAUGGGGGCAACCCUGAUUCAGCAAUGCCGCGUGAGUGAUGAAGGCCUUAGGGUUGUAAAGCUCUUUUGCCAGGGAAGAUGAUGACUGUACCUGGAGAAUAAGCCCCGACUAACUUCGUG